GCGGGUCCCUCUCCUGAGCAUCAGUGAGCGCCGGGAGCCGUGGCCGCUGCGGGCUGCGGCGGCGCUGAGCCAGCGGGGCCGGUGGAAAAGGAUUAUUCAUACCUGAAGGAGAUAUGUGAUCACCAAGCCGAACAGCUGAGCAGAACCAGCCUAAAGCUGCAAGAAAAAGCAUCAGAGAGUGAUGCAGAGAUCAAAGACAUGAAAGAAACCAUAUUUGAAUUGGAAGAUCAGGUGGAACAGCACCGGGCUGUCAAGUUACACAAUAAUCAACUCAUCAGUGAGCUAGAAAGUAAUGUGAUCAAGCUGGAGGAACAGAAGUCAGACCUGGAGAGGCAGCUGAAGACUCUGACCAAGCAGAUGAAGGAGGAGACUGAGGAAUGGAGGCGGUUCCAGGCGGAUCUGCAGACCGCAGUGGUGGUGGCCAAUGACAUCAAGUGUGAGGCCCAGCAGGAGCUGCGCACCGUGAAGAGGAAACUGCUGGAGGAGGAGGAGAAGAAUGCCCGGUUGCAGAAGGAGCUGGGGGAUGUGCAGGGCCACGGCAGGGUGGUCACCAGCAGAGCCGCCCCUCCCUCCCUGGGCUCUGUCAGCUAGCAGAGCAUUUGGUGGAAGAAAGA
rnacentral:sRNA from 1 species